CGUUUUUGCCACUUGAGCUUUAAUCAGAUGUUUACAUUUGAUGCUAUUAGAAAGUCUCUGAAUGCUGAUGAAGAUCACGAAACGUAAUGUGAUUUUUAAUGAUCAAAUAAAAAGAGCUUAACACCAUGAUGUGUGCUCAUGUGCAUUUAUCACCAGUAAGAUUGCUGUGAAUCUUGAGUGUAUCGAACUCUUGCUGGGAUUGAUGAGUUAACGCGGGUUUGGUUGUUUCUCAGGGAUGGACGGGCCGGGAUGCAGCAACAUGAACCGCAUGAGUGGGAUAGGCGGAGGCUUCUCCGGAAUGGACUGCAUGGGUGGAAUGGGAGGAUUCGGUGGCAGAGACAUGGGCCGAAUGGGAGAUGUGUAUCGCUCUGGAAUGGGAGGAAUGGACAGAGACUUCGGCAGAAGGGACAUGGAGAUGAACCGCCCGUUCGGAGACUCGU